GUAAUUAUUUCAGCGACAAAGUACCGUUGGUUGCUGGUGUAAUUCUAAUUGUUGCAAUUCAUUGGACUUGGUAUAGAAUACAACAUGUUCCUUAUUUGGUGUCAGAGUCGGAAAGGAAAAACAUGCCUGUUGUGCUUGCUCUCAGGUAUAUGAAGAACAAGACAGUUGAAACUUUUUCAAGUUCUGCUCCUACGGAGACUCCACCAAAUGAAAAGAAAAGUGUCUAAAGUGAAUGGUGAAUGCAUUAGUCCGUUAUGUAAUAUAUUGUAUAGGUUUAUGAAUUAAAAAUUGUUACUUUAAUAUAUUAAAUCAAGUAUUAUAAAUAUUA